UACGUAGGGUGCGAGCGUUAAUCGGAAUUACUGGGCGUAAAGCGUGCGCAGGCGGUUUUGUAAGCCAGAUGUGAAAUCCCCGGGCUCAACCUGGGAAUGGCAUUUGGGACUGCAUCGCUAGAGUACGGCAGAGGGGGAUGGAAUUCCGCGUGUAGCAGUGAAAUGACGUAGAUAUGCGGAGGAACACCGAUGGCGAAGGCAAUCCCCUGGGCCUGUACUGACGCUCAUGCACGAAAGCGUGGGGAGCAAACAGG
rnacentral:rRNA from 1 species